rnacentral:rRNA from 1 species
CUCAUGGUUUCACGGUAUUGCAAUGAGAACAAUUUAAAACCCUUAGCGAGAAUCAAGUGGAGGACAAGUCUGGUGCCAGCACCCGCGGUAAUUCCAGCUCCACUAGCGUAUAUUAAAGUUGCUGCAGUUAAAAAGCUCGUAGUUGAACCUCUGUCUGGGGCUAGUUUUGGCUUUGGUCAGGCUAGUUCUAGGCAUCCGCCUACAAGACUUAGAGGGCAUUCAGUUGUUCACUAGGAGGAGUAGGCAUUUUACUUUGAAAAAAUUAGAGUGUUUAAGGCAGGCAAUCGCCCGCAUAUAUUAGCAUGGAAUAAUAGAAUAGGACACUUUUCCAUUUCGUUGGUUAUUGAAUCGUGUAAUGAUUAAUAGGGACAGUUGUGGGCAUUUGUAUUUAAUUGUCAGAGGUGAAAUUCUUGGAUUUAUUAAAGACAAACUAACGCGAAAGCAUUUGCCAAGGAUGUUUUCAUUAAUCAAGAACGAAAGUUAGGGGAUCAAAGACGAUCAGAUACCGUCCUAGUCUUAACUAUAAACUAUUCCGACUCAAUGUUUGACUGGCUUAUAUAACCAGUUGAGCGUUGUAUGAGAAAUCAAAGUCUUUAGGUUCUGGGGGGAGUAUGGUUGCAAAGCUGAAACUUAAAGGAAUUGACGGAAGAGCACAACCAGGAGUGGAUUCUGCGGCUUAAUUUGACUCAACACGGGGAAACUUACCAGGUUAAAACAAUAGUGGGAUUGACAGUUUGAGAGCGCUUUCUUGAUUGGUUGGGUGGUGGUGCAUGGCCGUUCUUAGUUGGUGGAGUGAUUUGUCUGCUUAAUUGCGUUAACGAACGAGACCUUAACCUGCUUACUAGACUGGCGAUCAUCAAUCGUUAGCUCUUCUUAGAGGGACUUUGGUUGUUUUAACUCCAAGGAAGUUUGAGGCAAUAACAGGUCUGUGAUGCCCUUAGAUAUCCUGGGCCGCACGCGUCAUACAAUGACUAGUUCAGAAAGUUUUCUCCUGACCCGAAAGGGGAUGGGUAAUCUUGAUAAUACUAGUCGUGUUAGGGAUCGAUCUUUGCAAUUAUAGAUCUUGAACGAGGAAUUCCUAGUAAGUGCGGUUCAUCAGACCGUACUGAUUACGUCCCUGCUCUUUGUACACACCGCCCGUCGCUUCUACCGAGUGGGUGGUCCGGUGAGAUAAUUGAACUUCGCAGGUAACUGAGAGGAAAGAUUAUCAAACCUAUCCACCU